rnacentral:rRNA from 1 species
ACUCCUACGGGAGGCAGCAGUGGGGAAUAUUGCACAAUGGGCGCAAGCCUGAUGCAGCCAUGCCGCGUGUAUGAAGAAGGCCUUCGGGUUGUAAAGUACUUUCAGCAGUGAGGAAGGUGGGUAUGUUAAUAGCAUAUUCAUUUGACGUUAGCUGCAGAAGAAGCACCGGCUAACUCCGUGCCAGCAGCCGCGGUAAUACGGAGGGUGCGAGCGUUAAUCGGAAUUACUGGGCGUAAAGCGCAUGCAGGUGGUUUGUUAAGUCAGAUGUGAAAGCCCGGGGCUCAACCUCGGAAUUGCAUUUGAAACUGGCAAACUAGAGUACUGUAGAGGGGGGUAGAAUUUCAGGUGUAGCGGUGAAAUGCGUAGAGAUCUGAAGGAUACCGGUGGCGAAGGCGGCCCCCUGGACAGAUACUGACACUCAGAUGCGAAAGCGUGGGGAGCAAACAGGAUUAGAUACCCUGGUAGCUCUGC